UGGGUUGAGGCUCAGUGGUAGAGCACGGGCCUAGCAAGUAUGAGGCCCUGGGUUCGAUCCUCAGCACCACAC
rnacentral:tRNA from 1 species